GUGUCAGCCGCCGCGGUAAUACGGAGGGGGUUAGCGUUGUUCGGAAUUACUGGGCGUAAAGCGCGCGUAGGCGGACUAUUAAGUCAGGGGUGAAAUCCCGGGGCCCAACCCCGGAACUGCCUUUGAUACUGGUAGUCUAGAGUUCGAGGGAGGUGAGUGGAAUUCCGAGUGUAGAGGUGAAAUUCGUAGAUAUUCGGAGGAACACCAGUGGCGAAGGCGGCUCACUGGCUCGAUACUGACGCUGAGGUGCGAAAGUGUGGGGAGCAAACAGGAUUAGAUACCCUGGUAGUCCACACCGUAAACGAUGAAUGCCAGACGUCGGGCAGCAUGCUGUUCGGUGUCACACCUAACGGAUUAAGCAUUCCGCCUGGGGAGUACGGUCGCAAGAUUAAAACUCAAAUGAAUUGACGGGG
rnacentral:rRNA from 1 species